rnacentral:rRNA from 1 species
UACGGGGGGGGCAAGCGUUGUUCGGAAUUACUGGGCGUAAAGGGCUCGUAGGCGGCCUUCUAAGUCAGACGUGAAAUCCCCCGGCUUAACCUGGGAACGGCCGCGGAUACUAGGCACCUCGAGGGGGUAGGGGCGUGCGGAACACUAGGUGGAGCGGUGAAAUGCGUUGAUAUCUAGUGGAACUCCGGUGGCGAAAGCGGCGCGCUGGACCCCUUCUGACGCUGAGGCGCGAAGCCAGGGGAGCGAACGGG